rnacentral:rRNA from 1 species
GAUGAACGCUAGCGGCAGGCCUAACACAUGCAAGUCGAGGGGCAUCGCGGUGCAGCAAUGCACUGGCGGCGACCGGCGUACGGGUGCGUAACGCGUAUGCAACCUGCCCCGCACCGGGGGAUAGCCCGCCGAAAGGCGGAUUAAUACCCCAUGGUCCCGGGGGCCCCAUGGGCAUCCGGGUAAAGCCUUGGCGGUGCGGGAGUGGGCAUGCGUGCCAUUAGCUGGCUGGUGGGGUAACGGCCCACCAGGGCAACGAUGGCUAGGGGGUCUGAGAGGAUGGUCCCCCACACUGGUACUGAGACACGGACCAGACUCCUACGGGAGGCAGCAGUGAGGAAUAUUGGUCAAAUGGUCGAAAGACUGACCCAGCCAUGCCGCGUGCAGGGAUGAAAGGCCCUAAUGGGGUUGUAAAACUGCUUUUUAGCCCGGGAAUAAACACCCGUUUUAUAACGGGCCGAAGGUACCGGCUGAAUAAAGCAAUCGGCUAACUCCGUGCCAAGCAGCCCGCGGUAAAACUCGUCU